rnacentral:rRNA from 1 species
GCAGUCAGAGGCGAUGAAGGACGUGCUAAUCUGCGAUAAGCGUCGGUAAGGUGAUAUGAACCGUUAUAACCGGCGAUUUCCGAAUGGGGAAACCCAGUGUGUUUCGACACACUAUCAUUAACUGAAUCCAUAGGUUAAUGAGGCGAACCGGGGGAACUGAAACAUCUAAGUACCCCGAGGAAAAGAAAUCAACCGAGAUUCCCCCAGUAGCGGCGAGCGAACGGGGAGCAGCCCAGAGCCUGAAUCAGUGUGUGUGUUAGUGGAAGCGUCUGGAAAGGCGCGCGAUACAGGGUGACAGCCCCGUACACAAAAAAUGCACAUGCUGUGAGCUCGAU